AGACGGGGAUUAGAGCUUCCUGUCUAAGUUUUAGUAUAAACAGUCAAUAAUCCAACAUCUGUGAUCUGAAAAUGUGGUCCAACUGACACUACACAAACAAAUACAACUACCAUAAUUCAGAGCAGUAUCCAAAAAAAAGUAGCAAUUUUGAUUAAUAAAGGAGCCAACGACAUAUAUAUUUAUAUAUAUAUAUAUAUAAUAUCUGGUUUUGUUUCCUACCGGAAGUGUUUUGGUCGUGCUACGUCACAUGCUAGCGGAAACACAUUUCGUAAAAGAUAAAAUGUCCGCUGACGUAUCCUGAUUUCCGUUCAAUCAAAAGAGUUUUGACAGUUGUCAAUUCAAUUUCCUUUCCCAAUCACAAUUUCUUUGGCGAAAAUGAUGUUUUGACUUCGUGUCGGAUUUUUUUUAAUUUUUCGCUUGACAAAUACCCCGGUACAUAUUAUUAUCGCCAUUUAACGCCUCCUAACUUCCCGUUUAGUUGCUAACGCUGCGGUAGCGCUGUAUUCAAUUAUUAGCAUCGUUAUUAGCAUAAUAGACCGAUAAAUAAAUCGACGAAAUUAACUCUAAUUAAGUUCUCACUGGUUUGCAUCAGCAAAGAUGAAUCCUGUGAAGAAAACGUCAUCAUCAGGGAAAUCUACUGGAAUGUUUUACGAUCAUGAGGAGAGUUGGAGUCAGCAGCAACCAGCAGGAAACCACAGAGUUUUAGUCCUCAGUCCAAAGUCCUGACCAACUGAACCAAACGGAACCAUAAUCCAGGUCAUUACCAUCACCUGUGGAUCCUGGACUGCAGCACCGCUGACUGUCAGCUGCUCGUUAGUUCUCCGGCCGUAUUUUACACGUAUCUUCUUCCCUCUAGUGGCCGUUGGCUGAUCGUGCAGGUAAAAAAAAGAGGACAUUUUUGCCUCAAGAAAAUUCAGCGUCUCCUUUCGUUCGGCGCGCACUUGGACGCUCGUGCCCAGCAGAGGGCGCCCCGAGCCUGUCAAACGCAGCCUCACCGUUCGACCUUCCUCCUGUCGCUCCUCGCUCCCUCCCCUCUCCUCCCCUCUCCUCUCCUCUC